rnacentral:lncRNA from 1 species
UACGAACGUGACGCACUCCGUCCGAGGACCCUCCUCCGACACCACCGCACGUUUUCUGCACACGAGUGCGACGAAGGGGUGCGCAAUGCUCGAUUAGUGCAUCGGACUCAUCACCGCGCUCCUGUAAUAUCGAUCGAGUGCAACUGAUUGUGUAAUUGUAAUUAAGGCAAUCUUGUAAUCGACGACGAUAAGUCGGUAUAAUUAAUGAACCGAGUCGUGCUGACGACGCUCCAAGUGUCUAUCUGGCCGCACGAUCGCUGGCGCUUCUCUGUCACGCGACACAAGUUUCAGGGCCAAGGUACGAGAAAUCGCGAGUUCUGAAUCAGACGCGAGAAGGUGAUAUCGGCGGACGAGUCUCUCGACCCAAGGGGAGGCAACGAGCGGAUACAGAGAGAGCAUGAACGCCGAGACAUGCCGCAGUUGCACUUCGGGACGUAGCACCAUAGAAGCACCGGGCAGAAGCGCACCGCAGCUUUAUGGGCCACAGCUUUUUUCUCCCCCUGUUUGAACAGGAAAGACAAUCGGCGAGAUGGCAAACCGCAGGAAAGUUGAGACGCCUUCGCUUGAUUAUUUCCUCCUCAGCUCCCUGGCUUUCACAUUUCAAUUAAAUUCUUUAAAUUUCAUUCAACGCCGGUAUUCAACAGCUUUGACGGUUACGAGCAAAACCGAUUCAUCGGAAUUCAUAAAUUUUCCUAAUGAUACCGAUCCGUCCUCGUGUGGCUAUAUUAUGCUUUUAGCUUGAUAGAAAGUGCUUUUUAAUAUUAUUAAGAUUGUUGUUGUUAUCAUUAUUUUUUCGUUAGAAAGUAGUA